rnacentral:rRNA from 1 species
AUACUAAAGUAGUAAGAGAUAUAGGCUUGAAACUUAAAGAAUUUGGCGGUAUUUUAAUCUUUUCAGAGGAACCUGUUCUAUAAUCGAUAUUCCACGUUAAAUUUUACUAAAUUAUUUAUAUAUCGUUGUCGAAAGAAUAAAUUUUCUAAUAUUUUGAAAAAAAUAGAUGUCAAAUCAAGGUGUAGUUUAUAAUUUAGUAGAAAUGGGUUACAAUAAAUUUAUUUAGAAAAUUUUGGAAGGAGGAUUUGAAAGUAAAUUAAUUUUAAUAAAUUUAAUUGAUUAUAGUUCUAAGAUAUGU